UACGUAGGUGGCAAGCGUUGUCCGGAUUUACUGGGCGUAAAGAGCGCGCAGGCGGUCGGUCAAGUCGCGUGUGAAAGCCCCCGGCUCAACUGGGGAGGGUCACGCGAUACUGAUCGACUCGAAGGCAGGAGAGGGAAGUGGAAUUCCCGGUGUAGUGGUGAAAUGCGUAGAUAUCGGGAGGAACACCAGUGGCGAAGGCGACUUCCUGGCCUGUUAUUGACGCUGAGGCGCGAAAGCUAGGGGAGCAAACGGG
rnacentral:rRNA from 1 species